GGCGGGGGCCGAGCGCGGGGCACCCGGAGGCCUCCUGCAUAGGCGGGCACCAUGGGCUCCUGCUCCGGCCGCUGCGCGCUCAUCGUCCUCUGCACGUUUCAGCUGGUCACCGCCCUGGAGAGGCAGGUGUUUGACUUCCUGGGCUACCAGUGGGUGCCCAUCCUGGCCAACUUCGCCCACAUCGUCGUCAUCAUCCUGGGACUCUUUGGCACCAUCCAGUACCGGCCGCGCUAUGUGGUGGUGUACACGGUGUGGGCAGCCAUCUGGGUCACCUGGAACAUCUUCAUCAUCUGCUUCUACCUGGAAGUUGGGGGCCUCUCACAGGACAGCGAGCUACUGACUUUCAGCCUCUCCCAGCAUCGCUCCUGGUGGCAUGAGCACUGGCCGGGCUGUCUGCACGAGGAGGUGCCGGCAGCUGGCCUCGGGGCCCCCCAUGGCCAGGCCCUGGUGUCAGGUGCCAUCUGUGCCCUGGAGCCCAGCUCUGUGGAGGCCCUACACAGCGGCCUGCAGAUCCUGAUUGCGAUGGUGCCAGUGCCUUCCUCGAAGUGCUCAGAAGGAGGAGGCAAAAGCUGAGACGGGCGUGUGGAGGAUGCUUGGUCAGCGUUUCACCUCAGGAGCUCCUGGGGCAGGGCCGAUGUGACUGCAGCAUGAUUGGUGCCAUCGCCGGAGGAACUUGUGACUGAUCUCAGGGCUCCCUGACUUUCCCUGGUGCACACGCUGGCGUCAAUGCAGCACACCAGGUGGACAUGGGGCCUCUAGGAGCGAGGAUCUGUGGCCAGCAGCUGGCGGUGGAAGCUGAAUUCCAAAUCAAAGGGGCCCAUGGCCUGAGAACACGUGACAGUAUGGGUGGCCUCGUGAGCUCCCUGGGCUCUGCUCUGGUCCUGCAGGAACUCAGGCCAGGGAGGUGCUGCCCCGUAGCAAGGGGCUACAGACACACCCUGCCAGCGCUAGUCAGGGCCUGUUUCUCCCACCACAGCCACUCAGCGAGGCACAGGGGGGCCCCAGUUGCCCCCAAAAUGUGUGGAAGCCAGGUGCAUGUGACUGGAGGAGAAAGAGCCAAUGUCCCAAGUGUGCACAUCAAAGCUCCUGAGAUUAGGCUUUGUGAGAAGGCAACAAAAAGGAAGCUAGAGGGGAACAAAUGAAGAUUCUCUCGGAGGGGGUGGCGUGCUGUGGAAGCCGAGGCUGGAGGAGUGAGUGCUACGCGUGGUUGGGGAGAUGGGGCCUGCUGUUGGCUUUUGUCCUGACUCCCAGGGAUGGGAAUUUCUUUAAUAGGAUGUGGAUCUAAAUUCCAGCAAGCUAGUCCUCACUAGGAGCACAGCCCCCCUGCUCUUUGCUUUGGAGGGUCUGGGAGAGGCUGGUGGCUUGGCUGACCCCUGCCCAGCUGUGCUGAUGGUAGCAAUAGACAGUCGUCCGACAAGGCCAGGCUCUGGGCUUGAGGCGCAGGGCAGGGUCUGCAGAUCCCAGGCCUCCAUGCAGCAGGGAGAGGGGUGAGCUUUGGGGUGGACCUGGGGCUGGAGCCAGGAGGAUGGGCAGGAGGCGGUGGUGUGAAGGGCGGGGAGCACGAGGGUGUGGGACAGAGGCGGCCUGCAGGUCCCCGGGAGCGGGGAGCACUGGCUGGAAGGGGCGUCUUCCAAUGGCUCCCCAAGUUCGGCUGCCUGUUCAGCACCACGGCCAGCUCCGUGGUGGGGGCGUCUUGGGCUCCUUUGGAGUAGGAGGGGACGAGCCAUGGAGGUUGCCCACCUUCACCCCUGCUCCCACCCUGGCCAUGGCAUGGAACCAGAAAUGGCCAUUUGGGACAACUUCUUGAGUUUGUCUCAAUAUCAAGGAGACAGGUCUGCCUGCCUCGUGGUAAGAGAGGUCUCCUGGCCCCUGACUGACCCCUGGAAAGCAGCUGCCAGCUCGCCUGUACCACAUGGGGUGGGGGUCGGGGGGACGGAGCCCAAGCAUGUCCAGCCCUGGGGCCUGACCUGCAUGUCCUGUCUCCUCUCCUGGGACCGGGGCCUUCUCGGGGGGCUGUUGGGCCAGGUCUAUGGAGGAAGAAACCAAGACCAGAAGGUGAAGUGAAUUUUCGAGGUCACGCGGCUGCUCAGCGGUCGGCCUGAGGUGCAGCCAGAAAGGUGUCCUGCUUCGUUCCGGGGCACCUCCAGUCACAAACCCACUGCGGCCGGCUGCCCCCAACCCCUCCCUCAGUGUCUGUGCCCUGGAGUGACCCUGGCCGGGCCCUCUCGCUCAUGCCGUUGGUGUUUCUGGCUGUGGCAACGCUGCCCCCCUUUGCCAGAGCCCUUUUUCCCUCAGUGGCCCUGGAUGCAGGUGUCUGCGAGGUGUGUGGGGCUUUGCAGUGGCCUGUCUUCUGCCCUGGACUCCCAGUCCCUCUCCUCUCGCUGCUUGACCCCUGCCCCACAGGCAGCAGCCAGCCCCCAGCUCUGCCUGGAGUUGCCUGCUGGACCCCGAGUCCUCAGCCUGUCUCUCCUGCACUUUGCUGAGCUCAAAACCAGAAUCCCAGACGGCUCGCUCCACAGAGGAGGAGGAACUCCUGGUGGCUGUUGGCUGGGCUUCUAGGUUUUGUCUGUGGCUGCUACGUGGUCAGUGUGUUUACGGAGGAAGAGGACAGCUCCCCCAUCAGCUUUCCCGUGAUUUGCA